UGGUCUGUGGACGGAUUUGCGGAGCUUGCAACCACAAGAAAAAAUGCUAAACCUUUUCCA
rfam:Porphyromonas endodontalis ATCC 35406 contig00076, whole genome shotgun sequence.